CCGGGGGGCUGGGCAGCCGCGUCGCUUCACCGCGCCGAGGAAAGUCCGGGCUCCACGAAACAUGGGUGGCGGGUAACGCCCGCCGGGCGGGAUCUGCGGAUCGAAGCUCAGGGAAAGUGCCACAGAAAGCAUACCGCCGAUGGCCGCAAGGCACAGGCAAGGUUGAAAGGGUGCGGUAAGAGCGCACCGCGUUGCCGGUAACGGUGAUGGCAGGGCAAACCCCACCCGGAGCAAGACCGAAUAGGGGUGGCGCGCCGAUGGCUCUGGCCAGAGGCAGGUCCGUUUCGGACCGUGAUCACCCGGGUUGGUCGCUGGAACACGGCGGCAACGCCGUGUCGAGAGGAAUGGUUGCCAUUGUGCGCCCUGUCCCUUGCGGGAUACAGGCGCGCGAUACAGAACCCGGCUUACAGGCCCCCCGGCAUG
rnacentral:RNase_P_RNA from 1 species